GGCACCGGCACGCUGACCACGCCGCUUCUUUGACUGCUUAGUGGCGGCGGACGGAGCAACAGACCCGAUUCACCGGCGAAACGUUUCCGGCAACAACAGACGGAUCAAUCACUUCGUUCCUUCUGAGAAGCUCGUGUGGCUGGGGUGGUGUCAGAGUCCGUGAUCUACAGCUGCACUCAAACUGCAAUUCUUCACAGCGAUCCCGGAGCUUGCUGACCAGCCAUGUUUGAUUUCUCCAGGAGUGAGCUGGAAGACUUGCACCUUCAAGGUGCAGCCUUGGGAGACCCCCAUGGACUCGGUUCCUCACCGAUGUUAUGAACUGAAGUGCUGCAGGAGAUCGAAGCCUCGAACAGUGGGGAUGUGUCUGUGUGUGUCUCUCUCUCUCGCUGUCUCGGAGUCUGGUGAGCUUGAAUAAGUGUCGCUUCAGGCUGUAACAAUGAAGCAGCGAUCUUUUCAUGUCCCCUCUCACUGUGGAAAGGAUGACAUCUCCCUCUCACUUGUUAGUAGGAGAAAGACCGUGGCAUGUUGAAUUGUCGGCAUACCUCCAAAUAGCAAAUCUUCAAAGAUUUACUCCGAAGAAUCAAGUUACAAUCUGCUGAAGGGAUCCAGACUUUGGGCAGCAUGAAUAUCCAUAGUAACAGCACAACUCAGCCAUUGGCUGAAUAACUUGGGAGAUUGUGCCACAUAAUUGGUUAAAUCAAAUUAACCAAUGAUACAUUGUAACUGGCCACAAUGGAUAAUCCAGGUUAUUAUGAGUAUGGACAUUGGAAUGGUUAAUAUGAGUGUGAGUGUAAAAACACAUGGGCAAAUUUCACCUACUUUUUAAAAUGCUACUCCACUGAUGAUCAGGAACAUUACAGCACAACGAAGAAAGCAUUAACAUGCACACUGGUUUCUGAAUCAUUCAGCAGCCCAACAGAACUGCAUCACUUUAAAAUGUAAUUUAUUGAGUUUGAUCUUGUUAUGUAUCAAUAGUCAGGACAUUGAUUAUACUUAUAAGAAGCCAUUUUAAAUAUAAUUCAGCACAUUUUUGAAGAUUCUAUUACUGAUUGAAUUAUAUGUCAGAGUACUGAACUAUAAAUGCACGCAAGGAAAAAGAUACCACUCCCUAUGAAGGGUUGCUUUCAUUCAAAUCAUUCAUUAUAGCAAGUGAAAGCAUAAUUCAGUGUGACCCAACUCUUUCCCUGGCAAAGAAAACUGUUCUCCUUGCUGCCACUCAUGGUGACAAACAAACAGGCUGUUUGGCAUCUCUCCAACAACUGAACAGUUUGAAAUUAAAACAUAGAAAACCUACAAUACAGGCUCUUCAGCCCACAAAGCUGUGCUGAACAUGUCCUUACCUAAGAAAUUACCUAGGGUUACCCAUAGCCCUCUAUUUUUCUGAGCUCCAUUUACCUGUCCAGGAGUCGCUUAAAAGACCCUAUCGUACCCGCCUCCACCACUGUCGCCAGCAGCUCAUUCCAUGCACUCACCAUUCCGCGUAAAAAAAACUUACCCCAAUAUGCCCUCUGUACCUGCUUCCAAGCACCUUAAAACUGUGCCCUCUCGUGUUAGCCUUUUCAGCCCUGGGAAAAAGGCUCUUAUGAUUCACAUUGUCAAUGCCUCUCAUUAUCUUAUACACCUCUAUCAGGUCACCUCUCAUCCUCGUUGUCACUCCAAGCAAAGGCUGAGUUUACUCAACCUAUUCUCAUAAGGCCUGCUCCCAAUCCAGGCAAUCUGCGAGGCUGGGUUCGAUGGAGCUUUUGUGUGCUGCGUCUGCGAGGCUGAGUCCAUCGGCGCUGUGGAAGUCCAUAGCGGGAGUAUUCUCUUCUGCCGCCUGCGGGGAUGAUGAGCCUAUCGGGACCCUGAGGACUUGUGGAAAUUGUGUGGUGGUUUCUUUCGAACUGAUAGUCUUUUAACAUCUUUGGACUAUUUUUACUGUGCCCAUGGAUUUUUUUUAAUCAAUUAUGCUAUUGUUUGCACUGUUGUAACUAUAUAUUGUAAUUAUGUGGUUUUGUGCAGGUCUUGUAACUUUAGUUUUUGGUCUUGUUUUGUCUGGUGGAUGUGGAGCUCCUUUCCGGGGAACGCGCUAAGACAGUAGCACAAUAUUAAUACGCAGCAGCCUCUCUGUACUCUGGAUUGGGGAUUGCCAAACGUUAUGUGGAUUUUCUGGUGUAGUCUGUUUUGUCAUGUGUUUUUGUGAUAUCAUUCUGGAGGAACAUUGUCUCAUUUUUUAACUGGAUUGCAUUUGUGGUUUCUAAAUGACAAUAAACUGAAUUUGAAUCCU